rnacentral:rRNA from 1 species
CCUACGGGCGGCAGCAGUGAGGAAUAUUGGUCAAUGGACGAGAGUCUGAACCAGCCAAGUAGCGUGAAGGAUGACUGCCCUAUGGGUUGUAAACUUCUUUUAUAAAGGAAGCACCGGCUAACUCCGUGCCAGCAGCCGCGGUAAUACGGAGGGUGCGAGCGUUAAUCGGAAUUACUGGGUUUAAAGGGUGCGUAGGCGGAAUAUCAAGUCAGCGGUAAAAGCCCGGGGCUCAACCCCGGCGAGCCGUUGAAACUGGCUGUCUUGAGAUGUCGAGAGGUAUGCGGAAUGCGCAGUGUAGCGGUGAAAUGCUUAGAUAUUGCGCAGAACUCCGAUUGCGAAGGCAGCAUACCGGCGGCGAUCUGACGCUGAGGCACGAAAGCGUGGGUAUCGAACAGGAUUAGAUACCCGAGUAGUC